AUGUUUAGUUUAUACAUGGAUCCGAUGACGGGCUGCGGAGGUAAGAGAGAGAGAGAGAGUAAUAGAGACUCUUAGGUCGGCCAGGAGGAGGGCAGGGGAGGGGGUGUCGGCCGCCGGGAGGGCUAGACCUCCGGAGGCCGGUCUAAUCGAGGAGGUAUGGUGCCGCACGGAGCGCCACAGGGCCGAGCGAGCGGCAGUGGGUCGAGCGACGCCUAGACCCUUCAGGCGUGAGUGGUUCGGAGGGCUGCAGAGGACCGUGGUCUAGGCCGCUGCUUGUCCGACAGAACACGGAGGAGGAGUUCGAGCGCUCGACCCUAACGGAGAAGAACGAACGGUUACCUAGACAUCAAAUUCCACUAAUCCUAAAUAAACGUCGUCACAUUAUAACUAACAACGCACUACCUAGAUCAUCGUGUACCUAGGUGGUACAAAUUAGAACCAGAAGACAAGAGACACUACUUGAACGUACCCGAUGGAACUAGCUAAACACAGGUGUUUUUCCGAUCGUGUUAAAUCCGGGAGACUAACAAACAACCCUAAACUUAUGUUCUACCUGUUUCAAAACAGACGCAAUUCCGAUGGAAAGUCGAGAGACUAUUUUAUUCGACGUCAAAUAAAACAAACGUGACUGUGCACUUUAGGGAAACAUAUCUGUACGAAAUAAAGGUUCAAGAGUCGUAUCUAACUUAAAAAAACCCGUCUAAACAUGUUCUUGAAAAACCUACAGGCAUAGCAGGAAACGACUUUUAACUACUUCCUGAAAUAGAAAAAAUGUUUCUUGAGACAAAGAUGUUUCGCCAGAGAAACAUAUUUAACGACUUCUUGAAAUAACAAUAUACAUUUUCUCUUACGAAAAAGAACGGUAUAACUACAAUUAUCUUGAAAUACAAAUUGAUCGACCGUGAAACAUACUUAGGAACUUAUUGAAACACAUGUACACUUAAACUUCCAAUACUUUUAUCAUGUUUUGAAAUACUUCCGUUAAAUACCUGAAAUAGUGUUCAAGUCAUCUUGAAAAGACUAAAAAACGGGGAAACAGCUGAGACGAUCUUUCACCGUAAAAAUACUUACAAUGAUGAUGGUAAAAAACACUGAAUACUUAAUGGCUGGUC
rnacentral:rRNA from 1 species